rnacentral:rRNA from 1 species
GGGACAGUGGCGGGGUGCUUACACAUGCAGUCGAACGAUGAAGCCCAGCAUUGCUGGGUGGAUUAGUGGCGAACGGGUGAGUAACACGUGAGCAACCUGCCCCUGACUCUGGGAUAAGCGCUGGAAACGGCGUCUAAUACUGGAUAUGUGCCAUGGCCGCAUGGUCUGUGGUUGGAAAGAUUUUUCGGUUGGGGAUGGGCUCGCGGCCUAUCAGCUUGUUGGUGAGGUAAUGGCUCACCAAGGCGUCGACGGGUAGCCGGCCUGAGAGGGUGACCGGCCACACUGGGACUGAGACACGGCCCAGACUCCUACGGGAGGCAGCAGUGGGGAAUAUUGCACAAUGGGCGGAAGCCUGAUGCAGCAACGCCGCGUGAGGGAUGACGGCCUUCGGGUUGUAAACCUCUUUUAGCAGGGAAGAAGCGAGAGUGACGGUACCUGCAGAAAAAGCACCGGCUAACUACGUGCCAGCAGCCGCGGUAAUACGUAGGGUGCAAGCGUUAUCCGGAAUUAUUGGGCGUAAAGAGCUCGUAGGCGGUCUGUCGCGUCUGCUGUGAAAUCCCGAGGCUCAACCUCGGGCUUGCAGUGGGUACGGGCAGACUAGAGUGCGGUAGGGGGAGAUUGGAAUUCCUGGUGUAGCGGUGGAAUGCGCAGAUAUCAGGAGGAACACCGAUGGCGAAAGCAGAUCUCUGGGCCGUAACUGACGCUGAGAGCGAAAGGGUGGGGAGCAAACAGGCUUAGAUACCCUGGUAGUCCACCCCCGUAAACGUUGGGAACUAGUUGUGGGGUCCUUUUCCACGGAUUCCGUGACGCAGCUAACGCAGUUAAGUUUCCCCCGCCCUGGGGGGAGUACUGGCCGCAAGCUAAAAACUCAACGAAUUGACGGGACCCCGCACAAGCGCGAGCAUGCGGAUUAAUUCGAUGCAACGCGUAGAUCUACAAUGCUGACGAUACACGAGACGGCCAGAAUGGUUCAGCUCUUUGGACACUCGUGAACAGCUGUGCCAUGCAUGUCCGUCAGCUCAGUCUAACGUUCGUUAGUUCGCACGAGGCGCAAGCACU